rnacentral:rRNA from 1 species
GACGAACGCUGGCGGCGUGCUUAACACAUGCAAGUCGAACGGUCCUGUUUUUGAAGCGCUUCGGCGUGGAGGGAGCGGGUUAGUGGCGCACGGGUGAGUAAUGCGCGAGGACCUGCCCGCGGGAGGGGGACAGCAGUUGGAAACGGCUGGUGAUACCCCGUAAGCCGGGAGGUAAAAGGGCGGAGACGCCCGCCUGCGGAUGGACUCGCGUCCUAUCAGCUAGUUGGUGAGGCAACGGCUCACCAAGGCGACGACGGGUAGCCGGCCUGAGAGGGUGUCCGGCCACACUGGAACUGAGACACGGUCCAGACUCCUACGGGAGGCAGCAGUGGGGAAUUUUGGGCAAUGGGGGAGACCCUGACCCAGCGACGCCGCGUGAGGGACGAAGGCCCUUGGGUCGUAAACCUCUUUUGCAGGGGAAGAAGAAGAUGACGGUACCUUGCGAACAAGUCCCGGCUAACUACGUGCCAGCAGCCGCGGUAAUCAACGAGAGUA